UGGGGAAUAUUGCGCAAUGGGCGAAAGCCUGACGCAGCGACGCCGCGUGCGGGAUGAAGGUUUUCGGAUCGUAAACCUCUGUCAGAAGGGAAGAAACCGCACUGUGCUAAUCAGCAGUGCCUUGACGGUACCUUCAAAGGAAGCACCGGCUAACUCCGUGCCAGCAGCCGCGGUAAUACGGAGGGUGCAAGCGUUAAUCGGAAUUACUGGGCGUAAAGCGCACGUAGGCUGCUUUGUAAGUCAGGGGUGAAAUCCCACGGCUCAACCGUGGAACUGCCUUUGAUACUGCUUAGCUUGAAUCCGGGAGAGGGUGGCGGAAUUCCAGGUGUAGGAGUGAAAUCCGUAGAUAUCUGGAGGAACAUCAGUGGCGAAGGCGGCCACCUGGACCGGUAUUGACGCUGAGGUGCGAAAGCGUGGGGAGCAAACAGG
rnacentral:rRNA from 1 species